GCCCCCACCGGGACGGGGCCCCGGGGCCAUGGCCUCGCGGGGGGCGCGGCCAGGAGUGGAGGCCAGCUCCGGGACCCGCUCCGGGACAGGGCGCAGAGGCCGCGGCGCAGGGGCGCGCGGAGCACGAGGGGCUCCCCGCGAAGGCCCACGCAGAUGGGGAGCCUAAGGCCGGGGUUAGGCGCCGGCGGAAGGGGGUUGGGAGGCACUGGGUUCCUGAGGCCCGGGCCAGCGUCCUGAGGGGCAUUCAGAAUCCUUGGCAAGGUCCUCCUGUCCAAGAGGCUUCUGCAGACGGCAUGAAAGGGCCUCCCUCGGGCAGAGCCUCUAAGCCCCUGGAGAGCAGGCCGCUGAGGGAGACCCUCCGGGGCUUCUGCACAUCCGAGGACAGUGACAUCAAUAUCACCAGUGGGGAAGAGGACCACAAGGAGCAGCCUUUCCCAGGCGUCUGCAACCCCAAAGCGAAGGAGAACAGUGGCCAUGUCCCCCGGGCUCUCCCGGACAGCCGGGCGGCACCACCAGAGGGCCUUUGCUGCUACAUCUGCGGGUCCCCGCUGUCCCCGGCCUCGCACCACCAGGUCCACGUGCAGAAGCAGGAGAAGCUGGCGCAGGCCCCGUUCUUCCCCUUCCUGUGGCUGCACAGCCCGCCCCCAGGGGCACAGCCCAUCAGUGAGGGCGGCAGCACCCUGGUGUGCGCCAGCUGCUUCUCCUCCCUCACGCAGCAGUGGCAGAGCUUCGAGCUGGCCAACGUGCCGGUGCUGCAGCGACUCUAUGUGGUGCCCCUGGACAGCCACGCCCCUGGCAUGGCCUCCAAGGGCAGGAGGCUCCCGAGAGAAGAGGGCCUGCCCUCCGGGGCCCUGCGAGAGGCCUGCUACCUUUGUGGGGAGGACUGUACCCCAGAUGCCCGGGCGGUCCCCUCCAGGAUCCUCAAUGGCAACGCCAGGAGCGCCAUGCAUUUCCCCUUCCUCAGCCUCCUUCCCUGCCCGCCCAACGCCCAGGGCCCCAACAAGCGCUGUGAGGUCCGCAGCUGCCCCAAGUGUUUCAGCGUCCUAGAGGAUGUCUGGGCCCUGUACAGGGCCUGCCAGAACGAGGAGCUCAUCACCUCCGUGCAGGGCUUCCUGGGCAGGUACCACCAGGCCUUCUCCGCCUCCGACCCUGCCCUCUCCGAGCUGCCCGCGUCAGCCCAGGGCGGCCCCGUGUCCAUCUGCUACAUCUGUGGGGCUGAGCUGGGCCCCGGGAAGGAGUUCCAGCUCAACGUGAACCCUGCCAGCCGCUUGGGCGAGAAGGAGCCCUUCUUCCCCUUCCUGACUGUGUACCCGCCUGCCCCUCGUGCCAGGCCUGUGGACUCCACCGGCCUGGUGGCCACCUGUGUGCUCUGCUACCAUGACCUGCUGGCCCAGUGGCUGCAGCAUGAGGCCCGCAGCACCCACCAUGCUGUCAGCGCCUGGUCCCGGCAGUACCAGGUGGAGACAUUCGUGUGCUUCUUUUGCCAGCAGGAGAAGAAACGGUGUCUGGGCCUGAAGUCCGUGCGGGUGGCCCGGCUGCCCCUGUUCCUAUACACCUUGCGAGCAAGCCACAGCCUGUUGGUGGAUGACGGACAGCAGCUGAUCAUUGGCGCUUGCGUGGAGUGUGGGACCCUGGUGUGUGCGGGUCAAGGGCUCAACCGCCAGGGACCCAUGAGCUGGAGCUCCCCAGUGGCAACAGCGACGAAGAGAUGAACGUAAAGGAGCCGCCCCCACCUCCAAUUUACUCCUUUGAUUGACGGGAAGUGGCCUUCUGACGGCUGCCGAGCCUCCCCUGGGGGAGCAUCCCACGUCCUUCCCCUGUGUCCUGAGAUGGUAAGAUGACCUCCCCAGUGGCAUCAGAGGGAGGCUGGGAGGCGGGUGUAAUUGACUUGUAACAUACAGACCGUGGCAGGCUGUCAUCUGCGUCAGCCCAGGGUGGAAAUGUGCCUGUUAGCAUGAAUAGGGGUGUGUGUGUGUGUGUGUGUGUGUGUGUGAGUGUUCUCACCCUUGUGUUCUACGGAGGUAACAAACACUCUUUCCUGUUAGGGAGAUUCUUACAAACAUAGUGCAAGUGGCCUAUGGGGCUGGGGACCCAGGACGGAACAGGAGACUCCUGACUCCCUGAUACUGCCUCCUGUGCUCUGCAUGACUGGCCCCUAUCCUGGCCCCCAAAGCCCCUCUGUCCAGCCUUCAGUGCCCACCUUGAAGCCCAAGCCAUGGGGAAAGGGCUCGCAGUGUCCCCAAAGAGGAGCUGCACCAGACGCCCUUGUGCCUGGCACUCUGCAGCAGAUCUGCCGGGGUCUCUGGGCUCCUCCCUGGGGCAGCACCAGACCCUGUCGGCAGAGGUGGCACCGUAGGUGGGAUGCCUGUGCCUUACACACAUGCCAUGUUAAUGACCAAGCAGCACCGGAGGCAGCGCCGACAUGUAGCUGCGUUCUGCGGACACUUUGGAGGGCUUUUGUGGUUUGCAUAGUGAGCCCAUGUUGCAGGUAUGAAGACUGAGGUUGAAAGAUGAGUGAUGUGUCUGAGGCCACGUUUUGGUAGAGCUAGGAUUCAAAUCCAAGUCUGCUGGACUCCACCCCAUGCUCCUCCUUCCAUGUGGCCAUGCUACCUUCUGCCGUGGGGCGUAGCGUGGCUUCACUCCUCUGGGGUCACACUGGCCAGAAGGGACUGGACAGACGCUCAUUGGUAACCUCCCCGGGCCACCGGAUUCCUGGGCAGAUCCUGGGGCUCCCACCUGCCACAACACAACUCCACGGUCUCUGGAGACAAAACAGAACCAGCCAGGCUCCCAGCACGUUCUUCUCUGUGGAGGCCCAGGUGAAGACCCUGGUGACCUGCCACUCUCCCUGUCUGAUGGAUAGAGAGAGCCUCCCUCCUGGUGUCCUUCUUCUCCCGGACAUUUGUCCCAGCAACAUCCAAGGCUCCGCUCCAUCUGCUUGGGUGACUCUCUGAGGACACAGCCCCUGUAGACAUUUGGCACAGCGAGCCUGGGAUGCUUUGGUAGCCAGAGGUAGAUUUUUCCAUUUGCAUCCUCUUUUCAAAUGUUUUCAGAAUCUGGAAACAAUUAAAGUGGCCCAGUGGGGGCCGAUUUUAUUAAAUCAAAGCUCUGGGGCUGUUGUAUUUGUUGGAUUGAUGUUGCCCUGGGCUGGCUGCUUUGUUAAUGCUCUGUCCUGCGUGCGGCCUUGAAGGAAACACACAGGAGAGGGAGGAAAAAUCCAUUUAAUAAUCCUCAGAAGCCCAGCUCCCGCCAGCUGGAGAGAAUGUCGCCCUGGGUGUUGCCGGGGUGGGAGAGGUUCCUUAUGAGCUCUUGCCAUCCCCUCAGGAAAGAGCAGUUUCUAAAUGUGCCUGUCUGGCUCCUCCGGCAGCCCAUCCAUCCCAGGCUAGACAGAGGCAGGCGGACAUGGAAAGAAGGCACCCGGUGCAGGCAUAGACCUGGCUUCACAUACCUGCCUCCUCUGUGCCAGCUCAACCAGCAUUUCUUCAUUUCUUUACUGGUGCUAAUCCCCCUGUCUUACUGAGGCAGAGUGAAUGCCGUCAGGCCCUGUCCCCAAAAGGAUCUCUUCUCCUAGGUGCUUUCUGUGGCCCAGGAGCCCUCCUGGCCUGGGGGAGGCCAGAAGUACUGGGAGGUGAACGCCCUGAGGAGGAGCCCUUUACUGAUGUCUGUGGGAGGUGGUGUAUAAAUACCCCAGAUCCCUCCUGUGAGUGGACCACGGAAGUGUGUCUUUCACGGUGGGUCCCAGAGCUCCUGAGCAGGAUCAAGUUCCAGUUACCCACCACAGUGACUGGCUGAAGCCCACCCUCUCUCCCAGCCUCUUCCUCCCCUGUCCCUCUUCCCCGCACUCCUGCCUGUUUGACAUCUCUGCUCACAUCAAUGGCUCAUCUUCCUCUCGGUCAGCUCAUUGGGGGUUCUAUGGGAUGCAGAUAUAUGUUCAGAAUCUGGUACAGGAAGAUCAGGGCUUAGGAACUGGUGGGGAAGAGUGACUGUGGUUACUGGAGUCAGCAGUAGGACUUUGGGGGGUGAAAGGAGAGGCAUCCCCAAAGCCUGAAACAUCUGCCAGGGUGUGGGAAUGACAGCACUGAUGAGGCCUUUGCAGCCCACACUGGCUUUCCUGCCGCUUCGCAGCAUGUCCCAAGAGUCAGAGGCAGUUGGGGCCAUAUGUACAGGAGCUUAACGCUGGAAAUAGGCUCAGAGACACUAGGGGCCUGUGGGGUCACACAGCCAGCCAGGGCCGGUGACCAGGUGCCAUGAUCUCCCACCUCUGCUACUUUUCACCCUGUCUCGGGAGCCUGUGACAGAGGGGAAGUGGGGAGAGCAGUGCUGCCUGGAGGGAGAGAGGGGAUGAGGGAGCUCAAGUCAGGCUGUGGUGGUUUCUUGGUCACCAGCAAUGGGUCAUAUUCUGGUUAAGAUGUACCUUAUUCUAAGGAUAGUAGCCAGAGGCCCCAGGGCUGGGGUCAGGGCACCUUCAGGAGCUUCUUUGGGGGCGACGUGACCAGGCCAGUGUCUGCAGGACACCUUUCUGCAAGGAUUCCCCUUCCAGGAACAUCACACACUGGGGCCUAUCAUGGGUGGGGGGGAGGGGGGAGGGAUGGCAUUGGGAGUUAUACCUGAUGUAAAUGACGAGUUGAUGGGUGCUGACGAGUUGAUGGGUGCAGCACACCAACAUGGCACAAGUAUACAUAUGUAACAAACCUGCACGUUAUGCACAUGUACCCUAGAACUUAAAGUAUAAUAAUAAAAUUAAAAAAAAAAAAAAAAAAGGAUUCCCCUUCCAAACCCCUGUCUCACCCCUUCCCUCUGGUGGAGGCUACCUCCUGUGCACUACAGGGCAUGGUGCCGCCAGCCUGAGGACAGAUGGUCCCAGAUCCGAGUCCCGCGUUCCCAUCAUCGUCACCAUGUGGCAGCCAUUAACUGGGGGCACAGGCAGGCCCAAGGAAGCCCAGGCUCCCUUUCCUAACAAGCUCUGCUUUGGAUGUCUGGGUUUGGGCUGCACACUUCCUAGCGUGGAGUGAAUAGGGGCUCCUGUCUUUGACCGUGCUCUGGAAGGGCUUCACACAUGGGACAAUCCAUUUGUUCACGUCCGAAGGAGCUUCAGGCCUGCAGAGGUGUCUGGGCCUUUGCCAUUCCUGGAUGAUUCUUGGGACAACUUUCUUCUGUUUCUGUGCUGAUCCAAGAUCUGCUGUUGUUUCUACUUAUUGACUGAAUGCUGGCAGUUUCUGUUUUCCUGGAAAACGGUCUGGUUUUGGUGAGAUCUUUUUACAUGUCGCCCUUCAGCCAUAGGUGGCAUUCUCUUAAACCUUCUGAGUGUCUGUGAGAUGGGGCCUGGGCUCCCUCAGGCCUGGGCAGCGGGAGGGGUGGAGACGUGCUCAGAGCUGGUCCUUUCUGGAGAAGCCAUGGGUGUGUGUACGGGGAGGCUGGGCUGACUCUGGACAGUCCCUGGCAGUGCCGGGGGCUUGGUCAGGGGACCCACAGGAGAAAAGAGAACCUGAAGCUCUCCUUGCAAGGGGGUCCUACUUCUUUCUUUUCUUUUCUCUUUCCUUUCCUUUCCUUUCCUUUCCUUUCCUUUCCUUUCCUUUCCUUUCCUUUCCUUUCCUUGAGUUUCCUUGAGUUUCCUUGAGUUUCCUUUCCUUGAGUUUCCUUUCCUUGAGUUUCCUUCCCUUUCCUUGAGUUUCCUUCCCUUCCCUUGAGUUCCCUUCCCUUCCCUUGAGUUCCCUUCCCUUCCCUUGAGUUCCCUUCCCUUCCCUCCCCUUCCCUUCCCUUCCCUCCCCUUCCCUUCC
rnacentral:lncRNA from 1 species